CCUACGGGAGGCAGCAGUGGUGCAUAUUUGGCAAUGGGCGCAAGCCUGCCCCAGCAACGCCGCGUGAAGGAAGAAGGCUUUCGGGUUGUAAACUUCUUUUGACAGGGAAGAGUAGAAGACGGUACCUGUCGAAUAAGCCACGGCUAACUACGUGCCAGCAGCCGCGGUAAUACGUAGGUGGCAAGCGUUGUCCGGAUUUACUGGGUGUAAAGGGCGUGUAGCCGGGUUGACAAGUCAGAUGUGAAAUCCUGCGGCUUAACCGCCGAACUGCAUUUGAAACUGUUGAUCUUUAGUACUGGAGAGGCAGACGGAAUUCCUAGGGGAGCGGUGAAAUGCGGAGAUAUUAGGAGGAACACCAGGGGAGAAGGCGGUCUGGUGGACAGCAACUGACGGUGAGGCGCGAAAGCGUGGGGAGGAAACAGGAUUAGAUACCCUUGUAGUC
rnacentral:rRNA from 1 species